GUUAGUCUCAGAUCGCAGAACAGUUUGCUACAGAAUAUCCAGGGAUGUCACUUCAUGAACAUCUAUCUCAGUUCUCACUGCCAACACAAGUCCGCUCUGGUCACCACAACAGAAGGUGAUUUUUCUCUAUUAUUAUUUCUUUCCGUCUUUAUUAAUUAUUGUGUGAAUAAGUUGCCCUUUGCCUACUUGAGCAGGCUUGAAAACACUUGAAAACCGAUCCACGCGUCGAUCCACGAAGCCGGCGAACGGCUAAGCGUAGUAGAAAGUAUAUUAAAACACGACUAAGCAUUAUUUAUUUAUAAAUGCGCAUUAAAAUUCCCCU